rnacentral:lncRNA from 10 species
GCUGGUAAUGGUCACACUAGGUGGCGUCCGCGUGAGGUGGAGGUGUCAGCGGCUCCUGUCUGCAGCUUCCUGGGGUCCUGGCGGCGCUCUUCUCCUGAGCCAGAAUCCAGCAGGAAGGACAGAAUGGGCGCUAGAGUGUGAAAAGAGGGCGAACUCACGUGGAUGUGACUCUCCGGGUCGCUCUUCCCUGUCACCCAGCUCCUCCUGCCGGUUUCCUGUACAGCUGCUGUUACCCCACCGGGUUUCUACAGCAGAAAGUCCGAGAGCGAACUCAGAACUGGACAGACUGGCCUUCAUUCCUGGCCUAGUCACCCUCUUGGUGACCUUGGGCAGGUUACCCGAAAUAAUAGUGCUCUUAUCAUAGGGUUGUGGGAAUUAAGUGUCCAAAUAUGUUGUGUAAAUGCUUCCUAAGUGCUUGUUGUAUAGUAAAUGUUCGAUAAAUACUGUUUUCCUAAGGGGAAGGAGAGGAAAGGAUAAUGCACUUUAAUUUUUCUUGAGAAAGUCUUUAUUACAUUAAGCAAGCCUUGAUUUGUAAUCUUUUUCUAUUUUUUUACUUUUUAUUACUAUUAUUUUUAUUUUAUUUUAUUUUUUGAGACGGAGUUUUGCUCUUGUUGCCCAGGCUGGAGUGCAAUGAUGCUAUCUCAGCUCACUGCAACCUCCGCCUCCCAGGUUCAAGCGAUUCUCCUGCCUCGGCCUCCCAAGUAGCUGGGAUUACAGGCGCCGGCUACCAUGCCCAGCUAAUUCUGUAUUUUUAGUAGAGGCAGGGUUUCACCAUGUUGGUCAGGCUGGCUGGUUUCGAACUCCUGACUUCGGGUGAUCCACCCGCCUCAGCCCUCCAAAGUGCUGGGAUUACAGACUCACAUAAGCCACCGUGCCGGGCCUAUUAUUAUUAUUUUAUGUAUAUAUAUGUGUCUAUAUAAUUUUUUUUUUGAGACGGAGUCUUGCUCUAUCGCCCGGGCCAGAGUGCAGUGGCAUGACCUUGGCUCACUGCAGCCUCUGCCUCCUCUGCUCAAGCGAUUCUUCAGCCUCAGCCUCCCGAGUAGCUGGGGUUACAGGCACUGGCCACU